AUGAGAUUCUCUCCUUCGGCGCCGGCGUGGUCGCUCUCGGCUACCUACUGUGUAAAGGACAUUCAUAGGCCACAAAUCCAGCGGAUGCUAGCACGUAGGAAGUGGUGCUGCCGUGUUCAACAGAAAAAAUUGGCAGCAGUUCCACCGAUACAUGCCUGGAAGGAAACUUCGUAUGAGCACAAGUCACAGCACCACUACAGCGAGUCUCCGGCUUCUAAGGGAGUCGACGAGGUCACCUGGGCUCCUGCGAGAAAGGUGACAGGGUCAGCAAGAAUGCAGAUAUCUCCAAGAUGGCCAGAAUUGGUGCGGCUUGAUUUGGCUCACUACAGCGGCUCCUCUCCUCUGUCGCUCUUGCCGGCCAAGCCAAGCUGGACAUGGAUGUGUGGGUGUGCAUGCUCACUGUGA
rnacentral:rRNA from 1 species